rnacentral:rRNA from 1 species
AGAUUGAACGCUGGCGGCAUGCCUAACACAUGCAAGUCGAACGGGAGUAGCAAUACUCUAGUGGCGGACGGGUGAGGAAUACGUAGGAAUUUGCCCUUAAGUGGGGGAUAACCCGGGGAAACCCGGAUUAAUACCGCAUGACCUCGAAAGAGCAAAGUGGGGGAUCGCAAGACCUCACGCUUUUGGAGAAGCCUACGUCGGAUUAGCUAGUGGUGAGGUAAUGGCUCACCAAGGCGACGAUCCGUAACUGGUCUGAGAGGAUGAUCAGUCACACCGGACUGAGACACGGUCCGGACUCCUACGGGAGGCAGCAGUGGGGAAUAUUGGACAAUGGGCGCAAGCCUGAUCCAGCAAUGCCGCGUGUGUGAAG